CAGCACUUCGAUGCCCAAGUGUUAGCCAGUAACUGUCCUCCUGGAAUUCCUGGUUGGCAGUCACGCCGUCCCUCUGUCUCCGCUGCACCUGAGCCUACCUGUCCGCCCUCUGUUCCACUUCCUUGUUGCCUUCUGGAUUUCUGUGGCUGAGCACUGGACUAUCUGGACCUACAAAGUAGCCAAGCCCCCUGACACUUCAGCAAACCCUUCCUAACUCCGAACCUCCGUCUAACAAUGAGCCGAGCGUUUCUGUGAGCCCGUUUCUCCCCUGGACGAGACCCGUCGCUUCACUAUUUUUCUAGUUUGUGUUCUCAAUAAAUUCACUUUAUUAUA